rnacentral:rRNA from 1 species
GCGGCGAGCGAAGCGGGAAGAGCUCAAAUUUAUAAUCUGGCACCUUCGGUGUCCGAGUUGUAAUCUCUAGAAAUGUUUUCCGCGCUGGACCGCACACAAGUCUGUUGGAAUACAGCGGCAUAGUGGUGAGACCCCCGUAUAUGGUGCGGACGCCCAGCGCUUUGUGAUACAUUUUCGAAGAGUCGAGUUGUUUGGGAAUGCAGCUCAAAUUGGGUGGUAAAUUCCAUCUAAAGCUAAAUAUUGGCGAGAGACCGAUAGCGAACAAGUACCGUGAGGGAAAGAUGAAAAGCACUUUGGAAAGAGAGUUAACAGUACGUGAAAUUGUUGGAAGGGAAACGCUUGAAGUCAGACUUGCUUGCCGAGCAAUCGGUUUGCAGGCCAGCAUCAGUUUUCCGGGAUGGAUAAUGGUAGAGAGAAGGUAGCAGUUUCGGCUGUGUUAUAGCUCUCUGCUGGAUACAUCUUGGGGGACUGAGGAACGCAGUGUGCCUUUGGCGGGGGUUUCGACCUCUUCACACUUAGGAUGCUGGUGGAAUGGCUUUAAACGAC